AUACUUACUUGGCAGGGGAGAGAUACCAUGAUCACGCAGGUAGUUUUCCCAGGGCGAGGCUUAUCCAUUACGCUCUGGAUGUGCUGACAUCGAGCUAUGAUAGGGUAGUCAGUACGCAAAAAC
rnacentral:snRNA from 1 species